GCCCGGCUAGCUCAAUCGGUAGAGCGUGAGACUCUUACAGGGUUUCCAGCUUGUUAGCAAUCUCAAGGUUGUGGGUUCGACCCCCACGUCGGGCU